GGGCCGGUAAGCUCAGUCGGUUAGAGUGUGGUGCUGAUAACACCGAGGUUGCAGGUUUGAUCCCUGCUGGGUCCC
rnacentral:tRNA from 1 species